AUGGAUUUUCUUAAUGUGAUCCUUGAACCAAGUUGCGAACUUGGCGUUGUGCCCUUCUAUAAUUUGGUCCUCGUUCUGUCGUUCUUUUCUUGCCUUGCGUUCUUGUACCUUCUUAUUGGGCUUUUCUGUGCAUUUGUCCAAUCAUCGACCAUAUGUAUGUGUUGUAAUGCUACCGUGUGCUCUCUUCUAGCCGUCCUCUUGUUUAUCAUGAUGCACAUGCAAAUCCGGUUUCAGAAUGGCGCUACCUACUCAUUCAAGCUUGUCAGCAUUCUUAUUAACGGGCAAACCAAUAGAUUUCCCGACAUCAAUGUAAUAUGCAAAUGA
rnacentral:rRNA from 1 species